GCGGGCGUGGCGGAAUUGGUAGACGCGCUAGACUUAGGAUCUAGUGCCUAAUGGCGUGGGGGUUCGAGUCCCUUCGCCCGCA
rnacentral:tRNA from 1 species